rnacentral:sRNA from 1 species
CUUGCUGUAGCCCUCGGUCUGGCUCCAGUUCGCCGACUGCU